UCUCCCUCCUUGGAGAUAUCCAAAAGUUGUUUGGAAGUUGUGGUGGUUUCAGCCACCUGGCCCCACCCCCUGGGGCUGGACAUGGUUAAUCCCCAGUAAAUUUCUGACGUAGGACCAAUGGAGAGCUGUGUUUCGCCCCUGGGAAAUUAACAUAUCACAACAACUGGGAAGGGAAGCUGUUGGCGUAGCUGGAAAAUCGGGCAGCCAUCUGGGAAAUAGGAUUUUUGGGGUGAAACCACCACAGAUGUGGUGCUGGCCAAUGGACUCCAAAUGGAUCUGUUUGAACAAGGUAGUUGGACAAGGUGAUCUGCAGAGGUGCCUUCCAAACUGAAGCAUUCUGUGUUUCUGUGAUUUCUCACACUCUAUACAACUAAAGCAUGACAGGAAAAGAAGUAAAAUAAAACCAUGUCAACAAAUAGCACUGUACAA